rfam:Pyrenophora tritici-repentis Pt-1C-BFP supercont1.1 genomic scaffold, whole genome shotgun sequence.
UCCAAUGAUGAUCUGUGUUGCUUCGGCACGCUGGAAAUUACCGACCAAGGCUUCUGCCUAUGCCGAUAAACAAGGCUGUAUCUGAUA